rnacentral:rRNA from 1 species
AACGAACGCUGGCGGCAUGCCUAACAUAUGCAAGUCGAACGAGACCUUCGGGUCUAGUGGCGCACGGGUGCGUAACGCGUGGGAACCUGCCCUUAGGUUCGGAAUAACUCCCCGAAAGGGGUGCUAAUACCGGAUAAUGUCUUCGGACCAAAGAUUUAUCGCCUUUGGAUGGGCCCGCGUUGGAUUAGCUAGUUGGUAGGGUAAAAGCCUACCAAGGCGACGAUCCAUAGCUGGUCUGGGAGGAUGAUCAGCCACACUGGGACUGAGACACGGCCCAGACUCCUACGGGAGGCAGCAGUGGGGAAUAUUGGACAAUGGGCGAAAGCCUGAUCCAGCAAUGCCGCGUGAGUGAUGAAGGCCUUAGGGUUGUAAAGCUCUUUUACCCGGGAUGAUAAUGACAGUACCGGGAGAAUAAGCUCCGGCUAACUCCGUG